rnacentral:lncRNA from 1 species
ACAUUACUGUGAUCUUAUCCCAUCUAUGCAUAAUGCAACCAUUGUUUGUCAAACAUUUUUUUUUAAACAGUGAAAUUCUUUCUUUAAAACACACACACACACACACACACACACACAGUUGGUUAGACAGGCAUCAGAUAAAAGCAGGCUCAGGCUGGCCCUGGCUGAAGGUAGGAAGAGCCAACUUCUUGAAAAACUCUGUGCGUAAGAGGCCC